UCUCUUACCAUUUCAAAAACU
rnacentral:piRNA from 1 species